ACCUUUUGCAUAAUGAAUUAACUAGAAAUAACUUUGCAAAGAGAACCAAAGCUAAGGCCCCCGAAACCAGACGAGCUACCUAAGAACAGCUAAAAGAGCACACCCGUCUAUGUAGCAAAAUAGUGGGAAGAUUUAUAGGUAGAGGCGACAAACCUAUCGAGCCUGGUGAUAGCUGGUUGUCCAAGAUAGAAUCUUAGUUCAACUUUAAAUUUACCUACAGAACCUUCUAAAUCCCCUUGUAAAUUUAACUGUUAGUCCAAAGAGGAACAGCUCUUUGGACACUAGGAAAAAACCUUGUAAAGAGACAAAAAAAAAAAAAAAAAAAAAAAGAA
rnacentral:lncRNA from 1 species